CAGGAUUCUAUUCCUAUUAGUGACAAUUGCGAGCAACAAGAAGUCAAUGAAUAUGAAGUUCCAAUGCUUGAUUUUGCAACUCAAGAAUCCAAUCUUAGCGCUGGUACCCAAGUAUCAAUUUAUGGUACAAGUGUAACUUUGCAAAAUGGCUUUUCUUUCACUCAAAUGCUCCAGGAAAUUUCAAUGAAUCAUGCUAAUUCUUCACAAAGUAAUGAAGAAGGCAAAAAGCAGCUGGGAAGUUGAAGAUAUGCAGAAAAUUACUUUUUUUAUUUGUUGAAUUGUGUUAGUGCCAUUUAUAUUGCAUAGACACUGG